UACGAAGGGUGCAAGCGUUACUCGGAAUUACUGGGCGUAAAGCGUGCGUAGGUGGUUUGUUAAGUCUGAUGUGAAAGCCCCUGGGCUCAACCUGGGAAUUGCAUUGGAUACUGGCAGGCUAGAGUGCGGUAGAGGGUAGUGGAAUUCCCGGUGUAGCAGUGAAAUGCGUAGAGAUCGGGAGGAACAUCUGUGGCGAAGGCGACUACCUGGACCAGCACUGACACUGAGGCACGAAAGCGUGGGGAGCAAACAGG
rnacentral:rRNA from 1 species